rnacentral:rRNA from 1 species
AGUGAACGCUGGCGGUAGGCCUAACACAUGCAAGUCGAACGGCAGCACAGUAAGAGCUUGCUCUUACGGGUGGCGAGUGGCGGACGGGUGAGGAAUACAUCGGAAUCUACUUUUUCGUGGGGGAUAACGUAGGGAAACUUACGCUAAUACCACAUACGACCUACGGGUGAAAGCAGGGGAUCUUCGGACCUUGCGCGAUUGAAUGAGCCGAUGUCGGAUUAGCUAGUUGGCGGGGUAAAGGCCCACCAAGGCGACGAUCCGUAGCUGGUCUGAGAGGAUGAUCAGCCACACUGGAACUGAGACACGGUCCAGACUCCUACGGGAGGCAGCAGUGGGGAAUAUUGGACAAUGGGCGCAAGCCUGAUCCAGCCAUACCGCGUGGGUGAAGAAGGCCUUCGGGUUGUAAAGCCCUCUUGUUGGGAAAGAAAAGCAGCAGGUUAAUACCCCGCUGUUCUGACGGUACCCAAAGAAUAAGCACCGGCUAACUUCGU